rnacentral:rRNA from 1 species
AACGAACGCUGGCGGCAUGCCUAACACAUGCAAGUCGAACGAGACCUUCGGGUCUAGUGGCGCACGGGUGCGUAACGCGUGGGAAUCUACCCUUGGGUUCGGAAUAACUCAGAGAAAUUUGAGCUAAUACCGGAUGAUGUCGCAAGACCAAAGAUUUAUCGCCCAAGGAUGAGCCCGCGUAGGAUUAGCUUGUUGGUGAGGUAAAAGCUCACCAAGGCGACGAUCCUUAGCUGGUCUGAGAGGAUGAUCAGCCACACUGGGACUGAGACACGGCCCAGACUCCUACGGGAGGCAGCAGUGGGGAAUAUUGGACAAUGGGCGAAAGCCUGAUCCAGCAAUGCCGCGUGAGUGAUGAAGGCCUUAGGGUUGUAAAGCUCUUUUACCCGGGAUGAUAAUGACAGUACCGGAGAAUAAGCCCGGCUAACUCCGUGCCAGCAGCCGCGGUAAU